CUUAGAAUCACCUUAAGAUGAAAAGUGCACCAGGGAGACCGAGAGUUUAUACUCCAGCAAUGACCGUGUCUCUCUUUUAGGAGAGAGGUUUUUAGGUUUUGCUUGCUUGUUGCUUGCUUGCUGAUGUAUGCUUGAUGCAUGUUUGAUGUUUGAACAUUCGGGGACGAAUGUUCUUAAAGGGGGGAAGAAUGUAAUACCCGGCUAGAUUCCGGCAUCGGAAUCCCUACCUUCCGGCGGAAUCUCCGUUGGAAUAUGGAAUUUUGAUGAUGCCAGAGUCUUCUAGAGGGGUAAAAUGUGAUUUCUAAAAUAUUUUUAGUGAUUUCAUGGUUUUAAAUGAAAAAGAUUUGAGUUUUGAAAAGAAAAGACCGAGGAGGUUUUUGCCAGGUUCGGCCGCCGAAAGUGAAGUUUGGCCGCCGAACAUGAGUUGGUUUUGGGAGCGCUUUUGGCCUCCGAAAGCUAUGUUUGAACAAACCAGGUUCGGCCGCCGAACCUCAAGUUCGGCCGCCGAACAUAGGGGUGUUUUGCAUGCACGUUAGGCCACCGAAGGAGGUUUGGCUGGCCACCUAUAAAAGCCCCUCAGACCGAAAAUGGGCGAGUUUUCUCCCCAUUCUCGAGCUCAGGUGGGUUCAUGUCCUCCUUUGGUCAUUUUCAUAUUUUUUUUCUUCAUCUCCUUCAUAUUUUUAUGAGUUCCAUGGUUGUUUUGAAGAGUUUUCAAGCUUAGAUCAAAGUUUUGGGAGCUUGGAGACCCAAGGAGUAGUUUCCUCCCAUCUCCAAGUUAGAGCUCGCACAAACCCUCGAUCUUCAAGAGGUAAGUGUGGAUCUAUGCUUUUCUUUACGUUUCAUGAAGUUUUAAGUGAGUUUUAAGAGAUUUUGAUGGUUGAGUAUGGGUAGAUAUGCAUGUUAGGGUUUAUGUGGGUUUUAUGCCCAAUGUGUGAUAAUGUAUAUUCAUGUGAUGUUUGUGUUGGGGUUUAAGUUAGUUUUCAAGCCCCUUGAGCAUAUGGGAGAGAGUAUGCAUGAUUGGGAGAGAGUACGUGAGGUUUGGUUUGUUUUGAUGGUUUUGGCCUAUGUGGGUCAUAAGCUAUCUAUGUAUGUUUCUUGAUGUUGUUUUUGGGAGUUUAAGCUCCUUUGUGCAUGGUUAAGGAUGUAUGCAUGUGUUUGAGAAGUUGGGUGCUUGUAUUGGGGUGUAUGGAAGGUUUGGGAGGCUUGAAAUGCACAAAGGCUGAAUUCUGGAUGAACUCAGGUUCGGCCGCCGAAGGUGGUUUCGGCCGCCGAACCUGCCUGAGGAUGCAUGGUUUGGCCGCCUAACCUUGCCCCCGAAAGUUGAGUUUUGGCUUGAAAGCAGACUUUCGGCCGCCGAAGGUGAAGUUCGGCCGCCGAAAGUGCCUGACUUUCGUCUCUGGAGAAGGACUUUCGGCCGCCGAAGGUGCCGCCGAAAGUGCCCGAGUUUCGCCUCUGGAGAGAAGGUUCGGCCGCCGAAGGUGCCGCCGAAAGUGCCCUGUCCAGCCUUUUCAUGAGUGUUUUCUAUGCAUGUUUAAGUGAUGCUUUAGGGAGU
rnacentral:lncRNA from 1 species